rnacentral:lncRNA from 1 species
AGAGUUUGCAUGGUUCUCCCAUUGGUUCUAUAACCUCAGUUCUCACUCAGGAAAAUACUUAUCUCUACUAUACUCCAUCACCCCUCCUCUUCGGGGAAAAACCCAACACAGUUUACAAAUAGCAGGCACAUGUGUGGCGCGCAAAGGAGGAGUUCGUGUUUUCCCCUUUUUUGACCUUUGGUUAAAAAAAUAUCCAAGCCCCUUUUGGUCCUUUCCACCCAAGCCUCUAACCCUUGCU